AGGUCCCCAUCCCUGCUGUUGCUGGUGGAGGCACGGCCAGGUGGCUCUGCAGGCAUGCUGCCUCCAUCCCCCCAUCCCGAGCGCUGACUCUGUGGCUCCCAGCCCACUGCCGCAGUUCCCAGCCAAUGCGAUCUGCGGCAGGCGGUGCCUGCAGACAGGCAGCGUGCCUGCUUGCAGACUGGGCUGCCUGACUGUGCCUCUGCCGGGAGCAGCAGGGAUGGGGAGUCGCUCGCGUGGAAUUGCCAGAGGCAGAGAAUAGUCAUGCCCUAUCAGAGAGAGUCUGCAUCUGACAGCAUUCAAGAUUUCCUGAAACCCUGGAUGAUUCCACAUUCUGAAAAAGGAGGAAGAAAAGCUGUUGAUGCAAAGCCCACUGCAUCAUUUGGCAGACUAAAAUCAAGAACUCAUACAAGCUCCAAAAGGAGAAAGAGCACAGAGUUUCAUUGUUGAAUGCUCUCAAUUUAAAACUGACCAGUACCGGAACUGGAGUAAAGAUGCCAAGCCAAUGGGAGCUAAAAAUUCGUGAAACUAUGAGGUGAUGGCCACAGACUAGUCUGACAAAGGAAAAGAAAAUCAACACAGACUACAAAAACCAGAAACAGUUACCUAUCACUAUGCAGGAGACUUCAGAAUUCUCCCUUCUCCGGCUGACAGAGUAGCAUUUUAACUGAGGACUAAUAAAGACUUCAGCUCCCAGAACGCACCCUAUUCACAAGAUGCAGAAUGAUUCUGUAUGAUGCACUCCACUAAAUACCAUACCAUUUUAGAACAGAGGAACAAGAACUAUGAAUUUCAAUUCAAGAAGUGAAUUUGAAACAAGUGUUCUGUCAAACAGAAUAAAAACGUUUUUGUGAAACCCUUUUUAAAAGUUAAAUGGUUAGAAUAUUCUACACUUAUGUAACAUUUUCCAGUCAAGAAUUUUACAUACUAUUGCUGCUUUACAAACUAACAAAUUUAACUAUGA